rnacentral:rRNA from 1 species
AAGGGCACCACAAGAACGCGUGGAGCAUGUGGCUUAAUUUGACUCAACGCGGGAAAUCUUACCGGGUCCGGACACACUGAGGAUUGACAGGCAAUAUUAAAUACUUCGCUUCGGCAUGUAUUUAUGUUAAAUAUGCUAGUCCUUUCAUGAUUAUGUGAUAGGUGGUGCAUGGCCGUUCUUAGUUCGUGGAGUGAUCUGUCUGCUUAAUUGCGUUUCACCAAGGACCUAUAACUUAACGUGUGUUGCGGCACUUUGACCCCUCUCUUCUCUGAGAGCGUGUCUUAGUCUUUGCUUAGCUCACACAAUUAGGUCCUGAAAGCAACGAACGUGACCGCAACCUCUUGUUGCCUUUAUACCAAACAUGUCGCGCUUAACCUUCGUGUUACGCGUCAUGCAAAAAGGCUUUCUAAACUAGAGGGACCGCUGUUAUCUUCUUAAACCAGAGGAAGGUUGCGGCAAUAACAGGUCUGUGAUGCCCUUAGAUGUUCCGGGCUGCACACGUGCUACAAUGAUUAUUGCAGUGAGCAUCUCAUUUUUUUACACACCGCACACGCGAGUCCAUUUAUUCAUCUCUUCGGAGUGCUUUAAAUGUGUAUCUCUGCGAGCGGUAAAGCCUGCUUCGAGAGUAAGUGGGUAAUCAAUUAGAAGUAAUGAUUUCCGUAUUUAGCACACAUAUAUACGGCGUUUAUACCCGGGUUGCCUUGUUGCAACUUUUGUGCGUAUAGAUGUUUUUUCCGUAUGUGCGAUUGUCAAUUCAUGGUGGGGACAGACCAUUGUUAAUUGUUGGUCUCGGUCUUAACUAGGAAUGCCUUGUACGGGUCUUUGGUUCAACAAACCACCCGGAAUACGUCCCUGCCCUUUGUACACACCGCCCGUCGCUCUUACCGAUGGACUUCUCUGUGAGUUUGAGGGACUGGGAACGCAGUACAUUUUAUGCACUGCACACCUAUGGAAACUUAAACGAACAGUGUGGUCUAAAGGAAAGAGAAGUCG